rnacentral:rRNA from 1 species
AUUGAACGCUGGCGGCAGGCCUAACACAUGCAAGUCGAACGAGUGGCGGACGGGUGAGUAAUGUCUGGGAAACUGCCCGCUGGAGGGGGAUAACUACUUGAAACGUUAGCUAAUACCGCAUUCCAUCUGUUGUGCCCAGAUGGGAUUAGCUAGUAGGUGGGGUAAAGGCUCACCUAGGCCACGAUCCCUAGCUGGUCUGAGAGGAUGACCGGCCAAACGGGGACUGGGCCACGGCCCAGACUCCUACGGGAGGCAGCAGUGGGGAAUAUUCGACAAUGGGCGAAAGCCUGAUGGAGCCACGCCGCGUGUGUGAAGAAGGCCUUCGGGUUGUAAAAUACUUUUGGCGGGGAGGCGGUAUCUGACCAGAAAGCAACGGCUAACUACGUGCCAGCAGCCGCGGUAAUAC